rnacentral:lncRNA from 1 species
GAAAAACAAAAUAAAGAAAAAUUCCGACAACUAUGAAUUUAAAUGCUGAAACAGAAAUCCGGAAUUAAUGCAUUGCUGCACAUUUUCAUUUCACUUUCUCAAUUGGGAUUCUAUAUUUCAAUGAAAAAGAAAUUGUACCUGAAAAUGUUUAUAAUGGGAGAAAAGGAAGAUCAACAGCAGCAAUACAACAAUAGUUGCAACAGCAGACAACCAGUCCGGUUCAAACCAACAGCAACACCCUAAUUCAAACCAGAAACAACCCAAACCGGGUAUGGAGUGACUUGUAAAACAUAACAUAAAUAACCAACACCCAAUAGACUGGACUGAACAUGAACCACACCAGAAAUGGAUCAACAGAUAUCAGAAGAAGUUCUAGGGAAUUGAACUUAGACUGAUUAAACUCUCCAAUUUUCAGGAUCUCCAAACUGAUUGUUUCUUUAUCAAAGACUUAUACUAUUCUCAAAUAUGACCUCUAAAAGAUGAUUUCAAAAAGCCUCCCCUUUAAUGCCUCAAAAAUGUUCAAGCCCUUUCAAAGUCUAUCGUCAGAAUCUAUGUUUUUGACUCUCCACUCUUAUUGCCCCUUCCAGUCCCUCUUUAUGUCUCUACUCAUCUCUAUAUUUAAACCCAAGCUCUUCAACCCUUUUCAGCUC